rnacentral:lncRNA from 1 species
UGGUCUAGGAAACAUGGAUUGUGAAGAUUAGAUGUACCCUUGGACAGUACAACCUAUUGAAUGAACUGUGCAUCUAUUCUUCACUGUUUCAUUUGCAUAAAAUUAAAUUUGCCGUCUUCUGACUAAAGGCCGGGACACAGCAAGCAAACGUCAAGCCGUCGGUGAGCAUCUGUUGGGCUAGUUUUUUUGUUGCUGUUUUUGUUGUGUUCUACACGUUUGCUGUCGUCAGGCUCAAAAUGGCGUUUGGCUUCUGUUUCCAUGAUGUCACACUGGGUAGCUCCGCCCAUAGUGAAUCCUCAUUGGUCCAAGAUCCUGCCCCACAUAGAUCUACAGGUAAAUGUAAAACACAAAAUAUGAUUGUAUUGCUUUGCACAGUAUUCUUGCUUUCAAUGUGGACAUAUUACUUACCUGGUUAUAUGCUGAUUUGCUGUUGUUGUUGUUCUCAGUUACCACAGACCUCGGUUUCUGAGAAAGGACAGAAAACAUGUUAACCUUUGUAUAUCUUCAAUGAAGCCCUAGCAUGCAAUUGUAAAGUAUGUCUAAUUUAAAUAAAAUAUCCGACCAUCACAUACAUUUAGCAUGUCAGUGCAUA